AUGCUUCUGAGCUGAAGGGGCUAGGGACUGAUGGGGACUCUUUCAUUGAGAUCAUCUGCUCAAGGACCAACCAGGAGCUUCAAGAAAUUAACAGAAUCUACAAGGAAAUGUACAAGACUGAUCUGGAGGACAUCUGAAGAGUGUCAUGUAGGGAGAGAGUG